rnacentral:rRNA from 1 species
UACGGAGGGGGCUAGCGUUGUUCGGAAUUACUGGGCGUAAAGCGCACGUAGGCGGCUAUGUAAGUUAGUGGUGAAAGCCCGGGGCUCAACUCCGGAAUUGCCUUUAAGACUGCACCGCUAGAAUUGUGGAGAGGUAAGUGGAAUUCCGAGUGUAGAGGUGAAAUUCGUAGAUAUUCGGAAGAACACCGGUGGCGAAGGCGACUUGCUGGACACAUAUUGACGCUGAGGUGCGAAAGCGUGGGGAGCAAACAGG